GACCUCGUAGCUCAGCCGGUAGAGCACUUGACUUUUAAUCAAGUGGCCGCAGGUUCGAACCCUGCCGGGGUCA
rnacentral:tRNA from 1 species